UUUAAUUAUUUAUUUUAACAUUAAUUUAUAUGUAAAUUUUUGUUUUUAUAUUUCUUAAUGAAGUAUAAUUUUUUUAUGCAGUAGAUAAUUUUAUUUAUAUUAAGUAAAUUUAGAUUUGGUAAAUGUUAUUAGAUUUGGUAAAAACUGUGCCAGCAUCCGCGGUUAUACAGUAAAUUCAAAUAAAUAUUAUUAGUUUUUAAGUAAUUAUCAUUAUGUAUAUAUAUAAAUUAAAUUAUUUUAAGGUGAAAUAUUUAUAAUAUUUUAAAUAUUAUAUUUUUAGUGAGAUUAUUAUGAAAUUUAAAUUAUAAACUAGGAUUAGAUACCCUAUUAUUUUUAAUGUAAAAUUUAAACUUGAGUAUUAAUAGUUAUGAUCUUUAAACUUAAAGAAUUUGGCGGUAUUAUAAUCUAUUUAGAGGAAUCUGUUAUGUAAUCGAUAGACCACGUUGAACCUUACUUAUAUUAAUUCUUGUAUACCGCUGUUUUUGAAUAUACUUUUAGGUUAAUUUUCUUAAUAUAUAAUAAUUUAAUAUUUCAAGUCAAGGUGCAGUAAUAUAUAAGUUAAAUAAUGGAUUACAAUAAAAUGUAUUUAUACGGAUUAUUAUUGUAAAAUAAUUUGAAGGUGGAUUUAAUUGUAAUUUUUUAAAUAUUAUUAAAAUGAUUAUUAGCUCUAUAAUAUGUACACAUCGCCCGUCACUCUCGUUAUAAGAUGAGAUAAGUCGUAACAAAGUAGGUGUAUCGGAAGAUGUACCUAGAAUGAU
rnacentral:rRNA from 1 species